UACGGAGGGUGCGAGCGUUGUCCGGAAUCACUGGGCGUAAAGGGCGCGUAGGCGGCGCGGGUAGUCAUCGGUGAAAGUUCAGGGCUCAACUCUGAAUCGGCCGGUGAUACUCCCGUGCUCGAGCACUGUAGAGGCAGGUGGAAUUCCGGGUGUAGCGGUGGAAUGCGUAGAGAUCCGGAAGAACAUCGGUGGCGAAGGCGGCCUGCUGGGCAGUAGCUGACGCUGAUGCGCGACAGCGUGGGGAGCAAACAGG
rnacentral:rRNA from 1 species